GAUUAUUUCUCCACACCGGAGAGGGCUAACUGUUGCCUGAAAACGAGGUAA
rfam:Kluyvera intermedia strain CAV1151, complete genome.